GACUCCUUGACCUGAAUCAUUUUGUUAUGCCUCAUUGUAUGUCCUGUUCUUUGAGUUUCUUGUUUCUUACGCAUGCUACAACUUUGACAUUUUGUGCCUCCUGAUUCCCAUUUAUUAACUAGAUGAAUAUCAAGUUUAUUCAUACUGUCAUAGUGUAUUGAUCUAGUAGCAGUGGCUUGUAGAAUGAUGUUGGUCAUUUUAUCUGAGGCCUCCAUUAUUUGGUUCCAUGUAGAAAAUCGAAAAGAACAUGAUUUAAAUUUUGGUUUCUAUGUCUUGCUUUGGUUUGAUGAGUUUGAUAGUUUAAUUAUAUUUGGUUCUUGUUUUUUUUUGAAAAAAAUUUUUAACCAAAAAUGCCAAAAUAUAAUUUGUAAUAUAUUUUCAAGUAAAUCCUCAAAGCCUUGUCCAACCAUAAUAAUCUUGUCAAAUUUUAUGAUGCAUGUGAGGAUGCACUUAACGUCUACGUAGUCAUGGAGUAUGUCUUAAUUAACUCUAGUUAACUUAACAAUGAGUAACAACGUUUCUACAUAUGAUAUUUGUUCCAUGUCACAAGAUAGAGUUGAUAUAUCCAAAACUUUUUGCAUGUAGUAUCCUACUAAUAUGCCUCUUUGCUUUCCACUUUGUAUCCUGCACUAAGGAAAAAUGAUAAUACUUUUCCAUACAAAUUUUAAAAUGAACACUUCUAAGAUGAUGGGCAGCAAUUUUUUUUUAAAAAAAUUAUGUAGUACUUCUGUUAAUUUGGAACUCAACAAUAUGUUUUUCUCUUUUCCAGAUUAUGUGAAGGUGGAGAAUUAUUAGAAAGAAUUUUAUCCAGAGGUGGAAGGUACUCAGAGGAGGAUGCAAAAGCUAUAGUUAUUCAAAUACUGAGUGUAAUCGCCUUUUGUCAUCUUCAAGGUGUUGUGCAUCGUGAUUUAAAGCCAGAGAAUUUUCUUUUCACCACUAGAGAU